GGAAGAUAGUCUUGUCAUCAAGAUAUUGAGCUGGGAUAACAGGCUUAAUUACAUGCUCUUUCAAGUCUGCUGCAAUCUGAUCAUUGGUGACAGUCUCAUCAUGUUGUGUUGAAAUCAGAACAGUGUGAACCCUAACAGGGCACCAUGGCGCCACUUUCAUUUCUAUACUCAACAGUAACCUGGGUCUUGCCAUCAGGCCUCAACCAUGGACAUGUCUCGUUCUUUCUCACAUCAGUGAGCUUGGCACCAAGCUUGGU
rnacentral:misc_RNA from 1 species